CAAAUUUCCAUUUUUGACUGGAAACAUGAAGCAUCUUGUGUAGAAGAAAUGAAGACUUUUUUGGUCACCAUCUCUCCCAACAGUCUCCAGCAGUUUUUAACAUUCAUCUCAACUUCUCUUCAACGAGCUCGAUGCAACGAUACAAUACGAGCUCUACUGGGUUUCUCGUGUUUUUCCUCUCUCUUUCCUCUUAUCGAUCAUCUACUGGAAACCGAGCUCCCCCUCUUCUCAGAUUCCUCUCCGUUGACUUCCCCUAAAACCCCAUCUCCGUUCAUCCAUACUUGGCUCAUCCUUUGAUUUUCCCAUACUCGAUCCAACCCCCUCCGGUUUGUAGUUCCACUUUCAAUUCCCCGCUUCGGACGCCGAUUCUCUGUUUUCCGAAGAAGAAAUGGCGUUUAUCCUUCUCUAGGCUGUUGUGAUUCUUCCUUCCUCGUCUCUGCAACCAACCUGCUUCAAAUCCUAAUCCACCUACUCAAAUUUGCAGUCAUGGCUAUUCGUGUUACUCUCUCCUACUCUGGCUAUGUCGCCCAAAACCUAGCCUCCUCCACCGGCCUUCGGGCCGGUAACUGCCGCGUCUUUCAGGAGUUUUGGGUCCGAUCUUGUAUUUUUGGAUCGACCCAUAAUCCGGAGCUCAAAUCUGCUGGAAGCGCGCGCAAUUAUCGGUCCGAUAGCCGGCGGUUCAAGCCUGGUGACUCUGUCGAGAAGCCAACUUCUAUGUACAGCACUCUCGCCGGAGAAAGGGUUGGGGAAAGCCCUAAGAAUCCCAUGGUUUUGGGUUUGAUGUCGAUGUUGAAAUCGAUGGCCGAUUCUUCUGUGAUCAGUACGGGGACUUUUGGGGUUUCUUCGUUUAAAGCCACUUCGAUUAUACCCUUUUUACAAGGAUCGAAGUGGCUUCCGGGUUAUGAUAUACGAUCUCGUGUAAGCGACGAUGUGGAUAAAGGCGGAACAACGGUUUGUUAUGAUUAUGAUCUAUGUGGGAGUAAACAGUUUUAUGAGAAUGAUUUUGAGAAGAGCAGCUGGGUUUCGCGCUUGUUGAGUACUUAUUCCGAGGACGCAAAGGCCCUCUUUACGGCUUUGACUGUUAGUGUGCUCUUUAAAUCUUUCUUGGCGGAGCCGAAAUCGAUUCCUUCUUCUUCCAUGUGUCCUACUCUGGAAGUAGGGGAUCGUAUUUUAGCAGAAAAGGUUUCGUACUUUUUCAGGAAACCUGAAGUUUCAGAUAUAGUGAUCUUUAGGGCUCCUCAAAUCUUGCAGGAAUUUGGAGUUAGUUCAAAUGAAGUGUUUAUUAAGAGAGUUGUGGCUACAUCUGGGGACGUGGUUGCAGUUCAAAAAGGGAAAUUGGUGGUAAAUGGUGUAGUUCAAGAUGAGGACUUUGUCUUAGAGCCAAUUGCUUAUGAGAUGGAUCCAUUGCUUGUGCCUGAAGGUUAUGUGUAUGUAAUGGGGGACAACCGUAACAACAGUUGUGAUUCUCAUGACUGGGGUCCACUCCCAAUAGAAAAUAUUGUAGGUAGAUCAUUAUUCAAGUAUUGGCCUCCCUCCAAGGGAUCCGGUAUGGUUGAUGAAUCACAUGCAAGGAAGAUUAAUCUGGGUAUUUCCUGACACAAUGUCCUUGGUAUUACCCUACCCUGUCACACUUUCACAGGGAUGAAAUUGCCCCUUUUCGGUACCAACCGCUGCAAUAUCUUUGCAUAUAAAACUUGGAUUGGACUUCAUGUCCGAAUGGUGUGUAUUAAUGGAAGUAACUCCUGUACCUUGUGAUGUCA
rnacentral:misc_RNA from 1 species